GACUCGUCACACUAUCAUUAACUGAAUCCAUAGGUUAAUGAGGCGAACCGGGGGAACUGAAACAUCUAAGUACCCCGAGGAAAAGAAAUCAACCGAGAUUCCCCCAGUAGCGGCGAGCGAACGGGGAGGAGCCCAGAGCCUGAAUCAGCAUGUGUGUUAGUGGAAGCGUCUGGAAAGGCGCGCGAUACAGGGUGACAGCCCCGUACACAAAAGCGCAUGUGCUGUGAGCUCGAUGAGUAGGGCGGGACACGUGGUAUCCUGUCUGAAUAUGGGGGGACCAUCCUCCAAGGCUAAAUACUCCUGACUGACCGAUAGUGAACCAGUACCGUGAGGGAAAGGCGAAAAGAACCCCGGCGAGGGGAGUGAAAAAGAACCUGAAACCGUGUACGUACAAGCAGUGGGAGCACCCUUUGGGGUGUGACUGCGUACCUUUUGUAUAAUGGGUCAGCGACUUAUAUUCUGUAGCAAGGUUAACCGAAUAGGGGAGCCGGAGGGAAACCGAGUCUUAAUUGGGCGUUAAGUUGCAGGGUAUAGACCCGAAACCCGGUGAUCUAGCCAUGGGCAGGUUGAAGGUUGGGUAACACUAACUGGAGGACCGAACCGACUAAUGUUGAAAAAUUAGCGGAUGACCUGUGGCUGGGGGUGAAAGGCCAAUCAAACCGGGAGAUAGCUGGUUCUCCCCGAAAGCUAUUUAGGUAGCGCCUCGUGAAUUCAUCUCCGGGGGUAGAGCACUGUUUCGGCUAGGGGGCCAUCCCGGCUUACCAACCCGAUGCAAACUGCGAAUACCGGAGAAUGUUAUCACGGGAGACACACGGCGGGUGCUAACGUCCGUCGUGAAGAGGGAAACAACCCAGACCGCCAGCUAAGGUCCCAAAGUCAUGGUUAAGUGGGAAACGAUGUGGGAAGGCCCAGACAGCCAGGAUGUUGGCUUAGAAGCAGCCAUCAUUUAAAGAAAGCGUAAUAGCUCACUGGUCGAGUCGGCCUGCGCGGAAGAUGUAACGGGGCUAAACCAUGCACCGAAGCUGCGGCAGCGACACUCAGGUGUUGUUGGGUAGGGGAGCGUUCUGUAAGCCUGCGAAGGUGGCCUGUGAGGGUUGCUGGAGGUAUCAGAAGUGCGAAUGCUGACAUAAGUAACGAUAAAGCGGGUGAAAAGCCCGCUCGCCGGAAGACCAAGGGUUCCUGUCCAACGUUAAUCGGGGCAGGGUGAGUCGACCCCUAAGGCGAGGCCGAAAGGCGUAGUCGAUGGGAAACGGGUUAAUAUUCCCGUACUUGGUGUUACUGCGAAGGGGGGACGGAGAAGGCUAUGUUGGCCGGGCGACGGUUGUCCCGGUUUAAGCGUGUAGGUGUGUGUUCCAGGUAAAUCCGGUUCACUUUAACACUGAGGCGUGACGACGAGGCACUACGGUGCUGAAGCAACAAAUGCCCUGCUUCCAGGAAAAGCCUCUAAGCAUCAGGUAACAUCAAAUCGUACCCCAAACCGACACAGGUGGUCAGGUAGAGAAUACCAAGGCGCUUGAGAGAACUCGGGUGAAGGAACUAGGCAAAAUGGUGCCGUAACUUCGGGAGAAGGCACGCUGACACGUAGGUGAAGUGAUUUACUCACGGAGCUGAAGUCAGUCGAAGAUACCAGCUGGCUGCAACUGUUUAUUAAAAACACAGCACUGUGCAAACACGAAAGUGGACGUAUACGGUGUGACGCCUGCCCGGUGCCGGAAGGUUAAUUGAUGGGGUCAGCGCAAGCGAAGCUCCUGAUCGAAGCCCCGGUAAACGGCGGCCGUAACUAUAACGGUCCUAAGGUAGCGAAAUUCCUUGUCGGGUAAGUUCCGACCUGCACGAAUGGCGUAAUGAUGGCCAGGCUGUCUCCACCCGAGACUCAGUGAAAUUGAACUCGCUGUGAAGAUGCAGUGUACCCGCGGCAAGACGGAAAGACCCCGUGAACCUUUACUAUAGCUUGACACUGAACAUUGAGCCUUGAUGUGUAGGAUAGGUGGGAGGCUUUGAAGUGUGGACGCCAGUCUGCAUGGAGCCGACCUUGAAAUACCACCCUUUAAUGUUUGAUGUUCUAACGUGGACCCGUGAUCCGGGUUGCGGACAGUGUCUGGUGGGUAGUUUGACUGGGGCGGUCUCCUCCUAAAGAGUAACGGAGGAGCACGAAGGUUGGCUAAUCCUGGUCGGACAUCAGGAGGUUAGUGCAAUGGCAUAAGCCAGCUUGACUGCGAGCGUGACGGCGCGAGCAGGUGCGAAAGCAGGUCAUAGUGAUCCGGUGGUUCUGAAUGGAAGGGCCAUCGCUCAACGGAUAAAAGGUACUCCGGGGAUAACAGGCUGAUACCGCCCAAGAGUUCAUAUCGACGGCGGUGUUUGGCACCUCGAUGUCGGCUCAUCACAUCCUGGGGCUGAAGUAGGUCCCAAGGGUAUGGCUGUUCGCCAUUUAAAGUGGUACGCGAGCUGGGUUUAGAACGUCGUGAGACAGUUCGGUCCCUAUCUGCCGUGGGCGCUGGAGAACUGAGGGGGGCUGCUCCUAGUACGAGAGGACCGGAGUGGACGCAUCACUGGUGUUCGGGUUGUCAUGCCAAUGGCACUGCCCGGUAGCUAAAUGCGGAAGAGAUAAGUGCUGAAAGCAUCUAAGCACGAAACUUGCCCCGA
rnacentral:rRNA from 3 species